rnacentral:rRNA from 1 species
GACGAACGCUGGCGGCGUGCCUAAUACAUGCAAGUAGAACGCUGAAGAGAGGAGCUUGCUCUUCUUGGAUGAGUCGCGAACGGGUGAGUAACGCGUAGGUAACCUGCCUUGUAGCGGGGGAUAACUAUUGGAAACGAUAGCUAAUACCGCAUAACAAUGGAUGACACAUGUCAUUUAUUUGAAAGGGGCAAUUGCUCCACUACAAGAUGGACCUGCGUUGUAUUAGCUAGUAGGUGAGGUAACGGCUCACCUAGGCGACGAUACAUAGCCGACCUGAGAGGGUGAUCGGCCACACUGGGACUGAGACACGGCCCAGACUCCUACGGGAGGCAGCAGUAGGGAAUCUUCGGCAAUGGGGGCAACCCUGACCGAGCAACGCCGCGUGAGUGAAGAAGGUUUUCGGAUCGUAAAGCUCUGUUGUAAGUCAAGAACGAGUGUGAGAGUGGAAAGUUCACACUGUGACGGUAGCUUACCAGAAAGGGACGGCUAACUACGUGCCAGCAGCCGCGGUAAUACGUAGGUCCCGAGCGUUGUCCGGAUUUAUUGGGCGUAAAGCGAGCGCAGGCGGUUUGAUAAGUCUGAAGUUAAAGGCUGUGGCUCAACCAUAGUUCGCUUUGGAAACUGUCAAACUUGAGUGCAGAAGGGGAGAGUGGAAUUCCAUGUGUAGCGGUGAAAUGCGUAGAUAUAUGGAGGAACACCGGUGGCGAAAGCGGCUCUCUGGUCUGUAACUGACGCUGAGGCUCGAAAGCGUGGGGAGCGAACAGGAUUAGAUACCCUGGUAGUCCACGCCGUAAACGAUGAGUGCUAGGUGUUGGAUCCUUUCCGGGAUUCAGUGCCGCAGCUAACGCAUUAAGCACUCCGCCUGGGGAGUACGACCGCAAGGUUGAAACUCAAAGGAAUUGACGGGGGCCCGCACAAGCGGUGGAGCAUGUGGUUUAAUUCGAAGCAACGCGAAGAACCUUACCAGGUCUUGACAUCCCGAUGCUAUUUCUAGAGAUAGAAAGUUACUUCGGUACAUCGGUGACAGGUGGUGCAUGGUUGUCGUCAGCUCGUGUCGUGAGAUGUUGGGUUAAGUCCCGCAACGAGCGCAACCCCUAUUGUUAGUUGCCAUCAUUCAGUUGGGCACUCUAGCGAGACUGCCGGUAAUAAACCGGAGGAAGGUGGGGAUGACGUCAAAUCAUCAUGCCCCUUAUGACCUGGGCUACACACGUGCUACAAUGGUUGGUACAACGAGUUGCGAGUCGGUGACGGCAAGCUAAUCUCUUAAAGCCAAUCUCAGUUCGGAUUGUAGGCUGCAACUCGCCUACAUGAAGUCGGAAUCGCUAGUAAUCGCGGAUCAGCACGCCGCGGUGAAUACGUUCCCGGGCCU